rnacentral:tRNA from 1 species
AUUGGAAUUAUCCUACUACUCCUAGUCAUAGCCACCGCAUUUAUAGGCUAUGUCCUACCAUGGGGUCA